AAGCGAGAAGCAAUAAUGCACUUAGUUUCGACCUAAAAGUAUGAUAAAAUUUUAUCCUUGCUUACUAA
rnacentral:tRNA from 1 species